UUUCUCUAUUUUCUGAUUCUCUUCUUCUCUCACUCACACUUUUCAUAGGAGAAGUAACCAAACCCCAAACCACCCAACAAUUAAAAACAAAAUAAAAUUAAAUCCAAUCCAACAUUUCUCUUCUCUCUCUCUUUAUAUUUUGAUUUAUGAGCAUCCGCAUUGUUCAACAAACAUACAUUAAAGAUUCAAAAGUCACUACAAAUUAUUCUUUCACAAUCUUACACCUAUCAAAUGUGUAUUUGGUAAUGGAAAUUGAAAGGUGAUGCAUUAUUGAGUAUUCUGUCAUCACUGAUAGAUCUAUGCUUUUGAAUUUGUUGAUAUAAUUGGAUCAUACAGUACAAGAUUGCUCAAAUGAAUUGGAAUCAUCACAUGGAUGCUCAUUAUAUUGGGAGCAAUAUUCCUUACAAUAGUGAUGGAAGUUUCAUGGAUUUCUUUGCUGGUCUUACUUAUGAUCAUGUGAAUUUCAUCUUUUCUGGUUCACAAAUGCAGGAUAGUGUAUAUUCACCAGUUAAUUUGGGUUAUUAUAAGUUUGGGUAUUCAGAUCCCGGACCUACUCAAUACUACAACAAUAGUCAAUCUUUUGAGGUCUUUGAUCACAUUGUCAGUAUGGAUGAAUACGCUCGAAGGCCUGCUGAUUUUGCUUCUAGUGAGCAAACAGCUACUACAAAUCAGCAAUCAGAAAGAAUGCCAAAUGUGCAUGUAAAUACGAGCAAUCGAGACUGUCCUAGAAGUCAUCAUAAUUCUCAAGAUUAUCAGGCUGUAUGGCAAGACAAUAUAGAUCCAGACAAUAUGACUUAUGAGGAAUUACUCGAGCUGGGUGAAACAGUUGGAACUCAUAGUCGCGGACUUUCCCAAGAACAGAUUUCCUUGCUUCCAGUCUCAAAGUUCAAAUGUUGUUUCCUCUUACGAAGAAAGUUCCGAUCUGAAAGAUGUGUAAUAUGUCAGAUGGAAUAUAAACGUAGAGAUCGUCUUAUGACACUUCCGUGCAAACAUAAGUAUCAUGUGGGAUGCGGAACCAAAUGGCUUAGCAUCAAUAAGGCUUGCCCAAUUUGUUACACGGAGGUUUUUAUCGAUACACACAAGAAGUUUAAGUAGUAGCUAUUUGGGUUAGCAUAAGAAUGUUCAUUUGUUAUUCUUUUUUCGACUUGGCAGUUCUCGUUUUCUCUAUAGCUCUUUCUGUUUCUUUUGAUAGGGUUUCCACUUAUAGUAGUGAACUAGACUUUGGAACCAUGGUGGAUUUCCAAAAAGAGGUCAAACUUAUGAUGCAGGCUGACAAGUAAAUGCAGAAAGAACUUCUUCGGAGGAGCAAAUUUUGAGUCGGCAGACUCUUUGAUCGCAUCCUUCUUUAUGGGUAUGAGUUGUCGUCUUCCUUCCCUCUUCAAACCCUACUCAUAGUCCCUAUAAACGGGAUAUACCAGGUG